rnacentral:lncRNA from 1 species
UGACAACACGUAAGAAAACAUAAACACAAUAUUAUUCAAAGCUCCAUUUUAUUCAUUUUUUUCAAUAUUCAUCACAUGUUUCUUUCAAAAAUAAUAAAAUAAUAAAAUAUUCGUUGACAUGUUGAUUUUUCAUACAUGUAGCUUACUGCAGCAUGUAAGAAAACAAAGAAACAAUGGAAGCCCCAACCAAUGAUCCAAGAACAGGCAAGGUAGCGGCAGCCACGCUGGAAUCCGGUCCUGAUGCUGGAGCGGAACCAGGAGAGGAGCUAGGACUAGAACCACCGGCUGAAGGGGCAGGAGAUGGUGCACCGGCAGCCAUGACGGCGCUCAUUGAGGCGGCAGCAACAAUGAUGGCGGUGGAGACCUUCUUCAUGUCCAUGGCGUAUAAAGUGAUUAUUAAACGCACCGGAAAUGAGAGGGACCCGCGUUUAAUUACCGGUGAAUGGGGAUCCGCCGAUGAUUGUUAUUAUUUGCUUUGUUAUUGCAGGUCUGAAAAACAAUGAUGGUGGGGAGGAUCUUUUAUAGGUGAAAAUUCAUGGCUAUUUUUAGUGACGAAGUUUAAAGGAAAAAUUACGUGUUUGGUUUUCACAUGGUUUGCGGGAUAGACAUGCAAAAUUUUGAAUUUUUUUUAACGAUUUUUAGGUAAGGGGAUUUUAAAAUUUAAGAUUGAAUGAUAAUUUAUUUCUAUUUAAUUUUUUUUUAAAUCGUAAAAUUUGAUUUGCACGGAUAUGAGAGAUGGAAUUAAGGUCUAUUAAUUCCAUAGAUUUUAUAUUUAUUAAUUUUGAAUGGAUUUUUUUAACUAAAAUUUAAAUGAUAGAAGUAAAGUGAGAUGAUUUAAUCAUUUAUAUGUAAAUAUUAUAUAACAAGAUGUACUAAAAAAAAUGUUAUAUACUAUCAUAAAUGUAGAGUUGUCCAUGGAUUGGACUAUUUGGCUCGGUCUAAAGGUUCGCCUAAAAAAUAGAAGAGUUUAGACAACAAUAUAGACUCGAAAAAUAGACUUAGGCAACAAAUAUACAUGCGUCCUCCUAUAUUGAUAACAAUAUCUACACUAAUUCAACUAAAACUCAAUCAGCUAAUUCCAUCGAUUUUAUAUUUAUUAAUUUUGAAUGGAUUAAUGGUAAAGUAAAGCGACGCGAUUCUAAUCACUUAUAUGUAAAUAUUAUAUAAUAAGAUGUACUAAAAAAUAUUAUAUACUGUGAUAAAUGGUCGGAUGGUAAGUUUUUAUUUUGAUGAAUAAAAGACUAUAACGGUAAAAUUAUUAGUUAAGCUCCUGUAUUAAUUAGGAGAAGGUUGCAAUUUGGAAAUUUUUUUGAAAAAAAUGAGUAAAUUGGUCUUUAUAUAUUUUGAAAUAUACAAAUUAACUCUUCUGUUAAAUUUUAUCUAUUAAAUGAUGACAUGAAACGUUAAAUCUAUAUGUUGAAAAUUAUUUUUUUAUGGGUAUAUAAAAAUAGUCACCCAACUAUAUCUUUUAUUCUAUUUUAAUUGUCCGACUAAGGAUUCAUUUUGAUUUAAGUUUACCUUCAAUCUGACAUGAUUUGGACACUCUAUUGCCCAAUCAUGCCGCAAUAGAUCACUUGGAUGUAUAAUGGGAUUCAAUUUCAUCGCACUGAGGUCUUGCUUUUUCAUUGGAGGAUUACAACUCCAUUGACUUUCUUCUUCUUUUUUUGUAUCUAGACUUGAUCAUGAGACAGGCCAUCUCAGUUCAACCCAAAAGUCCAUCCAAAAAGUGAGUGGGUUUGAACUAAAAUAUAAGCUCAAAAACUAGAAUUGGGCUAGAAAACAAAAUUUAUUUUCUAAAUAGAUCGAGCUUCGAGUAAGCUUUGUCAUAGUUUCUAUCCUUACCCUCGUUAGUGGCAGGGAAAGGGACUGAGAAGGGCUUUGCAACCGCUUUACACCCUCUCCUAAAACGGGUUGAGACUCUCCAAAAUUCAUAAAAGCAUAAGUUAAAUAUAUAAUAAAUUUAUAAUUUAACCUAAAAAUUAUUAAAAUUUUAAUUUAAUCGUUUUAAAUGCCAUAAAAUAUAAUUAAAACCUAUUUUAACACUCAUAAAAAAUUAUUUUAAUCUCGAUUUCUAUAAAAGAUUUUCCAACUUCACCCCACAUUUAUCUAAUUACAUACUAGUUAGUUCAAUAAUUCAUUGGUAUUUUCAUGUUAUUCAUUGUUUUGAAUAAAUCGAAAAGUAAAAGCAUAAACACAACAUCCUUUCCAAAGCUCCAUUUCAAUUUUUUCAUUAUUCAUCACAUGUUUCUUACAAAAAACAUAAAAAUGAAAUAAAAUAUUCGUUCACAUGUUGAUUUUUCAUACAUGUAGCAUGUAAGAAAACAAAGUAACAAUGGAAGCCCCAACCAAUGAUCCAAGAACUGGCAAGGUUGCGGCAGCCACGCUGGAAUCUGGUCCUGAUGCUGUGGCGGAACCAGGAGAGGAGCUAGGAAUAGAACCACCGGCGGAAGGGGAAGGAGCAGGUGAACCGGCAGCCAUGACGGCGCUCAUUGAGGCGGCAGCAACAAUGAUGGCGGUGGAGACCUUCUUCAUGUCCAUGGCGUAUAAAGGGAUUAUUAAACGCACCGAAAAUAAAUGAGACCUGCGUUUAAUUACUGGUGAAUGGCUAUCGCCGGUGAUUGUUAUUACUUGCUUUGUUAUUGCAGGUCUGAAGAACAACGAUGGUGGGGAGGAUCAUUUAUAGGUGAAAAUUCAUGGCUAUUUUUAGUGACGAAAUUUUUAAAAAAAUUUACGUGUUUGGUUUUUGCAUGGUUUGCGGGAUAGACAUGCAAAUUUUUGAAUUUGUUUUAGCGAUUUAGACUGGAUUUUAAGGUGGGGAUUUUUUUUGGUAAGAGAAACAAGAGUAGUAAAUUACAGAAGAAUAAUUACCUCAAUCAAUAUCAUUUUGUAAAUUAUUCAGAAGAAUAAUCGAAUCAAUUUACUAUUUAAUCAAUUCAACCAAUCAAUCUAAUGAAAUUUGAAGAAUUUGGUUUCUCAAGGUGGAUAUACACUUCGGUUCAAUUACUAUUUAAUCAAUUGGGUCCUUAUUGGCUAAAAAUGAAUUCUUUUAGAAAAAUAUAUAUUUAAAAUUUUAGAGUUAGGACUAAAUUGAUAGAUUUUGUACAUAUUGAGGGUCAAAUUUAUUAUUAUUUUUAGAAUUAUAAUUAAAAUGACAAAUUUUGUAAACAUUGAGGGCUAAAUUUGUUGAUUUUUUUAUAUUUAGUAUCAAAUCGAUAGAAUGUAUAAAUAUUAGAGAGCUAAUUUUGUUACUAGACUAAUAAAACAAGCCCACAUCAGCUCAGAGUAACUAAAUCGAAAAAAUUAAUAGUUGGGUAACCAAAUAGAACAAAAGACAUAGUUGGGUGACUAUUUUUAUAGUUUACCCAUAAAAAUCAUUUUCAGCAAAGAUUUAACGUGCCACAUCAUCAUUUUACAUAUAAAUUUAACGGCAGUCUAAUUUGCACGUUUUGAAAUAUAUAUAAGGGCUAAUUUGUUCAUUUUUCAAUAAAGGGACCGAAAUGUAAUCUACCGCUAAGUUCAGUGGCUUCCCUAGUACUUUUACGGACUAUAAAGGAAUUGAACUUGAAUAAAUGUCUUUAUUUAUGUUCAUUUAUUUAUUUUUUAAAGCUUAUUUGUGUUUAAUUUGUGUUCGUUAAGUAAAAUCAUUUUCGUGUUCAUUUAUUUAUAACUAUGUGUGUUGAUCUUUGCUCGUUUAAACUUAGUGAGGAUUAUAGAAAAGGUUGGCAAGAGAGGGGGAUGGUUGUUUAAACGGUGGUGAGGUGCUGGAAGAGAGAGGUUGAAGAAGAAAUCUAUCAAGGGAGGGGUAUUUAUAGGCAAGGAUGAUCACCCCUUGGCAUUAGGCCCUAACACGUGCCUUCACUGGUCUUGUCAUGUUUGGUCCCUUAGAAAACAUUGUAGAACUUCUAAAUAAGCAAUAAUGGGAUCAAUAUGGACAUAGUAAAGCUCUACGUGGGUCUUACUUGUGUUCCAUGAAAAAGAAUGACUCAACACCUAUCAUUGGCAAGGUAGAUUAGAGGUGAGCCACGUGUAAACCAUACAUACGUUUGCAAGGGCCAUGGCUGGUGAAGUGUUGCCUAUGAGCGAAGUUAUAGUCGAGAAGGUUGUGUGUGACACCCCACACCCAAUUUGAUCAUCAGAUCCGAAUGUGUCACAUCACAUUACAUCAUCGAAACAACUCAAACUAACUUGACAUAAAUUUGCAAAAUUAAAUUCUUAUUCAUCAUUCAGAACAAUAAGCCUAUUCAUUAUGAUCAACAAAUAACAUUUGGCAUACAUAAGAAUCAAUUCCAUCUACAUACAAGGGGUUAUAAUGAGUUAAUAUAUUAGAAUUAGGGCUUGAAUCCAAACUCAAAUGUCAUAUUUCAAGUUAUGUCUCCAGACAUGGAGAAUCUCGAGACAGGUCAUAAAUUAUUUUGGAAAUUUUAGCUUCAAAGUUAACAUGUCUCGAGUUGAGUCUCGAGGCAAGGUCAUUUAUGUCUCGAGAUUGACCUCUCAUGUUUUCCUAUUUUUGGUUCGAUGUUUGAAUGUCUUGAGGCAAGAGCUCUUGUAUCAAGACUUGGAAUAAGGAAAAAAAAUUAAUUUAGCUUCGAUGUACUUCUAUCUUGAGACAAAGACCACUUGUCCCGAAACCUAGGAGCAAUUCUCUCGAGACUAAUUAGUUAUGUAUCGAGGCAUCGGGCUCUUGAAUGAAAAAAUUAAGAGAAAUUCUUUUUAACAGUAUUGAGGCAUGUUUGCCUUAUAUCGAGACUUAAUGACCAAAUGAACAAAAUUUCCCACUUCUAACUACCCAAAACCUUAGGCAGUUGAACUCAAACUGACCUAAAGCUUACCUUAAACCAUAAUCUCAAAUUAACCCAUCUAAACACAUUUAACGAUCACUAAAUUAUAAUCUUCCAUGCAUAAACACUUAAUAAACCAAUUCAAACAAUCAAACCAACAUAAACAAGCAUAAUUAACUAAUAGUCAAAAGAUAAAAUCUAACCUCUUAAGCAUUAUGGGUCACUUACUUAAAGUGGCAAAACUAAAUUAGGCAUCAAACCAACCAACCUAAGUACAUGUCAUAUGACUUCAAAACUGUUAAAAAGAAUUUCUCUUAAUUUUUGCAUACAAAACAUGAUUGUAAUGGCUUUUUGAGUUGAGUUGGAGAGUUGGAUGCUUGACCGCGAAAUAUUUAUAGCUUUUAUCCACAACUUACGUGUUUAUCUAAUAAAAAUAACCAACCAACCAACAUAACUUGAAUUCAAUUAUAAACCUAACAAAUCUAAUAAAAAUAAGUAAUAAGAAAACCCAAGUUAACCAACCAACAUUUCACAUUUAUCUAAUUACAUACUAGUUUGUUCAAUAAUUCAUUGUUAUUUUCAUGUUAAUCAUUGUUUUGAAUAAAUGGAAAAGUAAAAGCAUAAACACAACAUACUUUCCAAAGCUCCAUUUCAAUUUUUUCAUUAUUCAUCACAUGUUUCUUACAAAUAAAAUAAAAAAUAAAAUAAAAUAUUCGUUCACAUGUUCAGUUUUGAUACAUGUAGCUUACUGCAGCAUGUAAGAAAACAAAGAAACAAUGGAAGCCCCAACCAAUGAUCCAAGAACAGGCAAAGUGGCGGCAGCGACGCUGGAAUCCGGGCCUGCUGCUGGGGCGAAAGCGGGAGAGGAGCUAGGGCUAGAACCACCUGCGGAAGGGGAAGGAGCAGGUGCAUCAGCGGCCAUGACGGCGCUCAUUGAGGCGGCAGCAACAAUGAUGGCGGUGGAGACCUUCUUCAUGUCCAUGGCGUAUAAAGGGAUUAUUAAACGCACCGGAAAUGAAUGAGACCUGCGUUUAAUAACUGGUGAAUGGG